rnacentral:rRNA from 1 species
UACGUGAGUGAAAAAGUGAAUAUUAUUGGUUUAAUAGUUAAAUAUUUAUUUUCUUUAAAUUUAAAAUUUUUAGGUGAAAUUUUAAUUUUAUUAUAAAAGGAUUUUGUUGAAACUAUGAAAUUUAUUUUAGAAACAAGGAUUAGAUACCCUUUUAUUUUAAAUGUAAAUACGAACCUGGGUAUUAAUAGUUAUGUUCUUGAAACCCAAAGAAUUUGGCGGUAUUUUAUUCUUUUUAGAGGAACCUGUCCUAUAAUUGAUAAUCCACGAUAGGGUUUACUUAUCUUUGUUUUCAUUUUGUAUACCUCCGUCAUUAGAGUAUCCUUUUAGGGUUAAAUAUUCUCAUUAUACAAAAUAUAAUAUGUCAGGUCAAGGUGCAAUUUAUGGAUAAGUAGAGAUGGGUUACAAUGAAAUUAUUUAUACGGAUUAUUAUUUUUAAUGAUGGUAUGAAGGUGGAUUUAAAAGUAAAAUUAUUUUAUUUAUUAAUUUGACUUUAGCCCUAAAAUAUGCACACAUCGCCCGUCGCUCUUAUUUUAAAAUAAG